rnacentral:rRNA from 1 species
ACUAUCAAGUGAGGGCGAACUCCCGCAAGUCGAGCUACCUCAUUCUGUAGCUUGCUACUCCGAUGACGAGUGGCGGGCGGGUGAGUAAUGUCUGGGAAACUGCCUACCGGAGGGGGAUAACUACUGGAAACGGUAGCUCCUACCGCAUGGCGUCGCAAGACCAAAGAGGGACUCCUUCGGGCCUCUUGCCAUCUGAUGUGCCCAGAUGGGAUUAGCUAGUAGGUGCCAUAACGGCUCAUGUAGGCGACGAUCCCUAGCUGGUCUGAGAACUUGACCAGCCACACUGGAACUGAGACACGGUCCAGACUCCUUUGGGAGGCAGCAGUGGGGAAUAUUGCACAAUGGGCGCGCUCCUUGUGGGACCAUGCCGCGUGUAUGAAGAAGGCCUUCGGGCCUUAAAGUACUUUCAGCGUUGAGGAAGGCGAUAAGGUUAAUAACCAGGUCGAUUGACGUUAAGAGCAGAAGAAGUUCCGGCUUGCUCCGUGCCAGCAGCCGCGGUAAUACGGAUUGUGCAAGCGUUCGUCGGAAUUACUGGGUUUAAAGCUUGCGCAGGCACUCUGUCAAGUCGGAUGUGAAAUCCCCGGGCUCAACCUGGGGGCUGCAUUCGAAACUGGCAGGCUAGAGUCUUGUAGAGGGGGGUAGAAUUCCAUUUGUAGCCCUGAAAUGCGUUCGGAUCUGGAGGAAUACCGGUGGCGAAGGCGGCCCCCUGGACAAAGACUUUCGCUCAGGUGCGAAAGCGUUUGGAGCAAACAGGAUUAGAUACCCUGGUAGUCCACGCCGUAAACGAUGUCGACUUGGAGGUUGUGCCCUUGAGGCGUGGCUUCCGGAGCUAACUUGUUAAGUCGACCGCCUGGGGAGUACGGCCGCAAGGUUAAAACUCAAAUGAAUUGACGGGGGCCCGCACAAGCGGUGGAGCAUGUGGUUUAAUUCGAUGCAACGCGAAUCGCCUUGGUUACUCUUGACAUCCAGCCAACUUGCCAGAGAUGCUUUACAGCCUUCGGGAACUCUGAGACAGGUGCUGCAUGGCUGUCGUCAGCUCGUGUUGUGAAAUGUUCACUUAAGUCCCGCAACGAGCGCAACCCGGGUCCUUUGUUGCCAGCGGGCUGGCCAUCAACUCAAAGGAGACUGCCAGUGAUAAACUGGAGGAAGGUCCCCAUGACGUCAAGUCAUCAUGGCCCUUUUGAGUAGGGCUACACACGUGCUACAAUGGCGUGGACAAAGAGAAGCGACCUCUCGAGAGCAAGCGGAUUUCAUAAAGUGCGUCGUCCUCCGGAUUGGAGUCUGCUUCUCGACUCCAUGAAGUCGGAAUAAAUAGUAAUAGUAAAUCAGAAUGAAACGGUGAAUACGUUCCCAAACCUUGUACACAUGGCCCGUCACACCAUAAACGUGGGUUGCAAAAGAACCAGGUAGGUUCAGGGCUGGGG